rnacentral:rRNA from 1 species
GUAUGGCCAUAUCACCCUGGACACACCUGAUCUCAUCUGAUCUCAGAAGCUAAGCAGGAUCAGUCCUGGUUAGUACUGGAUGGGAGACACAGGCAUCAACU